GGCUCUUCCACUUCCUCUUUCUUUGCUGCUGCCUCCAGGUGAGCACUCACCAACUCAGAGUUGUCUCUGCUCUUGGUUGUUGUUUUAUUCUACAUGCUGCUUGUUUAUUUAAACAGUCUAUUUAAUCAGUCUAUGUGUUAGGUUUGUUCAGGCAGCUUAAUUGCUGGAUUUAUUUAGGCAGGGUUCUUGCUGGAUUUAGCUAGGCAGUCUAUGGCUGUGUUUAGCUAGGCAGUCUAUUGCUGGAUUUAUCUAGGCAGUCUAUUGCUGUGUUUAUCUAGGCAGUCUAUUGCUGUGUUUAGCUAGGCAGUCUAUUGCUGUGUUUAGCUAGGCAGUCUAUUGCUGUGUUUAGCUAGGCAGUCUAUUGCUGUGUUUAUCCAAGCAGUCUAUUGCUGUGUUUAUCCAAGCAGUCUAUUGCUGUGUUAUUUCCUAUACCACUUCAUGCUAUGUAGCUGCUGUAUCACUUGUUAACAUCUGUUGCUGUAUUGAGGCUAUUUAUCUGAUAGACUCUGUAUACUGCUCAUUGAUUUAUUGUUAUUCUGGGUUACUUUAUUCUGUUUUCUCACUCUGCUGUAUGGGGAAUGGGUGCCCCUGCUAUGAUGCUUUGGCUCUGCCUGUAAUCUGUUCACCCUCCCCGGGUUCCCCUGCUGGGCUCUGUCGCCCAUACCCUUCUCCCUUAUUCCCCACCUGCUCCCCGUGGCCCCUGGCCGCUUGCAGUGCCGCACGAUCACCACGCGGUAGGCCGCGCUCUGUUUUUGCAGCCACGGCAGCCAUUUUGUUGGAGCCGUGGCGGACAUUUUUCAGAGCCACAUGGGCUCUGUGCGUUGCGAACAGCCAGGUCUCACCCAAGAACUGGCCUGCUGGCCAUGUGGCCACCCUCCCCUCUCCCUAUAUCAAGGAAGAUAGCCCAGUUUUUCAGCUAUCCCUCUACUUACUGUGCCUGUCUCACAUGCUGCAUAUGUAACAGAUCCUGGAUAGCAGAAUCUGUCCCAGGCAUGCUCACAACUGCAGCUUACUAUGUCUGAUGCAAUGUGACUAGGUUCUCUAUCUUAGCAGUAGACUUGUCACACUUUUUUUUACUAU